ACGCUGGCGGCAUGCCUAACACAUGCAAGUCGAACUAAUUACCUUCGGGUAGUUAGUGGCGCACGGGUGCGUAACGCGUGGGAAUCUACCCCUUGGUUCGGAAUAACAGUUGGAAACGACUGCUAAUACCGGAUGACGACGUAAGUCCAAAGAUUUAUCGCCGAAGGAUGAGCCCGCGUAGGAUUAGGUAGUUGGUGUGGUAAAGGCGCACCAAGCCGACGAUCCUUAGCUGGUCUGAGAGGAUGAUCAGCCACACUGGGACUGAGACACGGCCCAGACUCCUACGGGAGGCAGCAGUGGGGAAUAUUGGACAAUGGGCGAAAGCCUGAUCCAGCAAUGCCGCGUGAGUGAUGAAGGCCUUAGGGUUGUAAAGCUCUUUUACCCGGGAUGAUAAUGACAGUACCGGGAGAAUAAGCUCCGGCUAACUCCGUGCCAGCAGCCGCGGUAAUACGGAGGGAGCUAGCGUUAUUCGGAAUUACUGGGCGUAAAGCGCACGUAGGCGGCUUUGUAAGUAAGAGGUGAAAGCCCAGAGCUCAACUCUGGAAUUGCCUUUUAGACUGCAUCGCUUGAAUCAUGGAGAGGUCAGUGGAAUUCCGAGUGUAGAGGUGAAAUUCGUAGAUAUUCGGAAGAACACCAGUGGCGAAGGCGGCUGACUGGACAUGUAUUGACGCUGAGGUGCGAAAGCGUGGGGAGCAAAC
rnacentral:rRNA from 1 species